GGCGUAGUCGAUGGGAAACAGGUUAAUAUUCCUGUACUUGGUGUUACUGCGAAGGGGGGACGGAGAAGGCUAUGUUGGCCGGGCGACGGUUGUCCCGGUUUAAGCGUGUAGGCUGGUUUUCCAGGCAAAUCCGGAAAAUCAAGGCUGAGGCGUGAUGACGAGGCACUACGGUGCUGAAGCGACAAAUGCCCUGCUUCCAGGAAAAGCCUCUAAGCAUCAGGUAACAUCAAAUCGUACCCCAAACCGACACAGGUGGUCAGGUAGAGAAUACCAAGGCGCUUGAGAGAACUCGGGUGAAGGAACUAGGCAAAAUGGUGCCGUAACUUCGGGAGAAGGCACGCUGAUAUGUAGGUGAAGCGACUUGCUCGUGGAGCUGAAAUCAGUCGAAGAUACCAGCUGGCUGCAACUGUUUAUUAAAAACACAGCACUGUGCAAACACGAAAGUGGACGUAUACGGUGUGACGCCUGCCCGGUGCCGGAAGGUUAAUUGAUGGGGUUAGCGGUAACGCGAAGCUCUUGAUCGAAGCCCCGGUAAACGGCGGCCGUAACUAUAACGGUCCUAAGGUAGCGAAAUUCCUUGUCGGGUAAGUUCCGACCUGCACGAAUGGCGUAAUGAUGGCCAGGCUGUCUCCACCCGAGACUCAGUGAAAUUGAACUCGCUGUGAAGAUGCAGUGUACCCGCGGCAAGACGGAAAGACCCCGUGAACCUUUACUAUAGCUUGACACUGAACAUUGAGCCUUGAUGUGUAGGAUAGGUGGGAGGCUUUGAAGUGUGGACGCCAGUCUGCAUGGAGCCGACCUUGAAAUACCACCCUUUAAUGUUUGAUGUUCUAACGUGGGCCCCUUACCGGGGUUGCGGACAGUGUCUGGUGGGUAGUUUGACUGGGGCGGUCUCCUCCUAAAGAGUAACGGAGGAGCACGAAGGUUGGCUAAUCCUGGUCGGACAUCAGGAGGUUAGUGCAAUGGCAUAAGCCAGCUUGACUGCGAGCGUGACGGCGCGAGCAGGUGCGAAAGCAGGUCAUAGUGAUCCGGUGGUUCUGAAUGGAAGGGCCAUCGCUCAACGGAUAAAAGGUACUCCGGGGAUAACAGGCUGAUACCGCCCAAGAGUUCAUAUCGACGGCGGUGUUUGGCACCUCGAUGUCGGCUCAUCACAUCCUGGGGCUGAAGUAGGUCCCAAGGGUAUGGCUGUUCGCCAUUUAAAGUGGUACGCGAGCUGGGUUUAGAACGUCGUGAGACAGUUCGGUCCCUAUCUGCCGUGGGCGCUGGAGAACUGAGGGGGGCUGCUCCUAGUACGAGAGGACCGGAGUGGACGCAUCACUGGUGUUCGGGUUGUCAUGCCAAUGGCACUGCCCGGUAGCUAAAUGCGGAAGAGAUAAGUGCUGAAAGCAUCUAAGCACGAAACUUGCCCCGAGAUGAGUUCUCCCUGACUCCUUGAGAGUCCUGAAGGAACGUUGAAGACGACGACGUUGAUAGGCCGGGUGUGUAAGCGCAGCGAUGCGUUGAGCUAACCGGUACUAAUGAACCGUGAGGCUUAACCUU
rnacentral:rRNA from 1 species